UACGUAGGGUGCAAGCGUUGUCCGGAAUUAUUGGGCGUAAAGAGCUCGUAGGCGGUUUGUCGCGUCUGCUGUGAAAACCCGAGGCUCAACCUCGGGCCUGCAGUGGGUACGGGCAGACUAGAGUGCGGUAGGGGAGAUUGGAAUUGCCCGGUGUAGCGGAUUGGAAUGCGCAGAUAAUCAGGAGGAACACCGAUGGCGGAAAGG
rnacentral:rRNA from 1 species